UCCCUAAACCACUUGAAGUGUGAACAAGAGAUUCAAUCUAAACUCCCCUUAAAUCUAUACUCCCCUUGAUCAUAUACUCCAUGCUUAACCCUGGUGUCUCGAUCUUCAGACUCCCCAUGAGAGUCCUCUCAAUCACUUUAAAUGAUAGGCUCUGCUUGCUCUUCCUAAAACUUCUCAAACUUUGUACAUCACUAAGUCAAUAACAACAAGCCACCCACAAAAAAGAUUUUCUUGUAAAGAACCCACCGUCCAAACCAGCACAGUACUUCGGCCAUACACCUUUACUUCUGCUUUUCAACGAAUAAAAAACACCAUGGGCUUCCUUCGGUUGACCAUCAAGAGCCUAUUAUAAUACCCUUAAAGGAAAGGAUUUUAUAUUAAUUAAAAUUCUAACCAUAAUGCAAAUUUGUUAUAUUAAUAUGGAUCCUAACCAUAAUGACCAACCAUCUAAGAUAAAUAAGGUAACCAAAAAUAAAAAAGAAAGUUGAAUGCCAAAGCCAUAAUAAACUCCCCCUUUUGGCAACAUCAUUUUCUUGUUUAUAUAUUUUUCGGCAAGCAAACCAUCAACAACAAUCAUACAAGUACACAACCACCAGCAACUCAGAAAAAAACCAUCAACCAACACCAUUACACCCACCACAGUGAAAACCAACAUAAACCCCAUCCGAGCCGGCCAACAACCUACACUCCCCUUUGCUUGUCGAAAGAAGAUAGUUAGUCAGUAGACAGGAAGAGAGGCCUGAGUCGAGAAAGCAUCUGUCUGGAGCAUGGCUCAAGCCAUUUCUUGUUACAUUUUAUUUUUAUGUUCGAACAAUCCCAUUCUGUUGAGUAAUAAGAGCCAGA
rnacentral:lncRNA from 1 species